rnacentral:rRNA from 1 species
AACGAACGCUGGCGGCAGGCCUAACACAUGCAAGUCGAACGCUCCGCAAGGGGAGUGGCGCACGGGUGAGUAACACGUGGGAACCUACCUUCUGGUACGGAACAACCAAGGGAAACUCUGGCUGAUACCGUAUACGACCUCCGGGUGAAAGAUUGAUCGCCGGAAGAGGGGCCCGCGUCCGAUUAGGUAGUUGGUGAGGUAACGGCUCACCAAGCCUGCGAUCGGUAGCUGGUCUGAGAGGANGACCAGCCACACUGGGACUGAGACACGGCCCAGACUCCUACGGGAGGCAGCAGUGGGGAAUUUUGGACAAUGGGCGCAAGCCUGAUCCAGCCAUGCCGCGUGCGGGAAGAAGGCC